rnacentral:rRNA from 1 species
GACAGAGGAUGCAAGCGUUAUCCGGAAUGAUUGGGCGUAAAGAGCUCGUAGGCGGUUUGUCGCGUCUGCUGUGAAAACCCGAGGCUCAACCUCGGGCCUGCAGUGGGUACGGGCAGACUAGAGUGCGGUAGGGGAGAUUGGAAUUCCUGGUGUAGCGGUGAAAUGCGCAGAUAUCAGGAGGAACACCGGUGGCGAAGGCGGGUCUCUGGGCCGUAACUGACGCUGAGGAGCGAAAGCGUGGGGAGCGAACAGG